rnacentral:rRNA from 1 species
UACGACUACAUAUCAGGCAUAUCAAUAAGCGGAGGAAAAGAAACUAACAAGGAUUCCCUUAGUAACGGCGAGUGAAGCGGGAAGAGCUCAGAUUUGAAAUCUUCAAGGUUUUACCUUGACGAAUUGUAGUUUAAAGAAGUGUUUUCUGUUGAGUGUUUCGGUAAAAGUUCUUUAGAAUAGGACAUCAUAGAGGGUGAGAAUCCCGUAUUUGACCGUUAUUUCUCUAGCUGUGUGAUACACUUUCAAAGAGUCGGAUUGUUUGGGAAUGCAGUCCAAAAUGGGUGGUAAAUUUCAUCUGAAGCUAAAUAUUGGCGAGAGACCGAUAGCGAACAAGUACCGUGAGGGAAAGAUGAAAAGAACUUUGAAAAGAGAGUUAAACAGUACGUGAAAUUGUCAAAAGGGAAGCGUUUGACACCAGUGUUGUUUUCUCGAAAAUCAAUUAAAAAGAAGUUAGAUUUUGUGUUGUAUUGACCUUAAAAGCUUGCAUUUCACUUUUUCAUAUUUAUUUUUAAUGCACUUUUCGUUUAACAAGUCAACAUCAGUUUCUUUUGUUGUAAAAAGGUCAUUGGAAGGUGGCUUUCUUUUUCGGAGAAAGUGUUUAUAGCCUUUGACUCCUGCAAUCGGAGAGACUGAGGUCUGCAGCGUAGAUCCUUCGGGAUUAGAUUACAUUUGUGCUAAGUUAUAGCUUUUCAUAGACAACUUGUUGACUAUGAUUUAGUCAUGUAGCUUACUCGCUUAUGUAUUUUACCUACGCUUAGGAUGUUGAACGCGCACAGAGUCUC